rnacentral:rRNA from 1 species
GACGAACGCUGGCGGCGUGCCUAAUACAUGCAAGUCGAACGCAUUUUCUUUCAUGGUAGCUUGCUCCACCGAAAGAAACUGAGUGGCGAACGGGUGAGUAACAAGUGGGUAAUAUGCCCAUCAGCGGGGGAUAACACUUGGAAUAAGGUGCUAAUAUAGCAAACUUCGAUUUACCGCAUGGUAAAUGGAUGAACGGCGCUUUUGUGUAGCUGAUGGCUGGACCCGCGGUGGAUUUGCUGGGUGGAGGGGUAACGGCCUACCAAGGCUGCGAUGCAUAGCCGACCUGGAAGGGUGGUCGGCCAACCUUGGGAUUAGACACGGCCCAAACUCCUACAGGAAGCAGCAGGAGGGAAUCUUCGGCAAUGGACGCAAAGCUUACCGGGCAACGCCGCGGGAGGGAAGAAGGGUUUCGGGUCGGAAAACUCUGUUUUUAGGGAAGAACAAGGAUGGGAGUGGAAAGAUCAUCCCUUGACGGUAUCUAACCAGAAAGCCACGGCUAACUACGUG